rnacentral:rRNA from 1 species
AUUGAACGCUGGCGGCAUGCUUUACACAUGCAAGUCGAACGGUAACAGGGAGCUUGCUCCGCUGACGAGUGGCGAACGGGUGAGUAAUGCAUCGGAACGUACCCAGUCGUGGGGGAUAACGUAGCGAAAGUUACGCUAAUACCGCAUACGUCCUGAGGGAGAAAGCGGGGGACCGUAAGGCCUCGCGCGAUUGGGGCGGCCGAUGUCGGAUUAGCUAGUUGGUAGGGUAAAGGCCUACCAAGGCGACGAUCCGUAGCGGGUCUGAGAGGAUGAUCCGCCACACUGGGACUGAGACACGGCCCAGACUCCUACGGGAGGCAGCAGUGGGGAAUUUUUGGACAAUGGGCGAAAGCCUGAUCCAGCCAUUCCGCGUGAGUGAAGAAGGCCUCGGUUGU